rnacentral:rRNA from 1 species
UAGGGAAUAUUGGGCAAUGGAGGGAACUCUGACCCAGCCAUGCCGCGUGCAGGAUGAAGGCGUUAUGCGUUGUAAACUGCUUUUAUAUAGGAAGAAAUAGUCCUUGCGAGGAAAGUUGACGGUACUAUAUGAAUAAGCACCGGCUAACUCCGUGCCAGCAGCCGCGGUAAUACGGAGGGUGCAAGCGUUGUCCGGAUUUAUUGGGUUUAAAGGGUGCGUAGGCGGUUUAUUAAGUCAGUGGUGAAAGACGGUCGCUCAACGAUUGCAGUGCCAUUGAUACUGGUAGACUUGAGUAUGAUUGAGGUAGCUGGAAUGGAUAGUGUAGCGGUGAAAUGCAUAGAUAUUAUCCAGAACACCAAUUGCGUAGGCAAGUUACUAAGUCAUAACUGACGCUGAGGCACGAAAGUGUGGGUAUCAAACAGGAUUAGAUACCCGAGUAGUCCCUGAGCGGGCUGGCAAGGCGCAU